AAAAAGGCCCUGGCGCUAUCAUUGGUUCAGACAUUCCCUGAAUGAUGGAUCAGACAUUGGCUAUAUUUCCAGAGACUCCAGAAUGAAAACCAAGCUCUGAGGGAGGAGAACCACGCCCUGAGGGAAAGCAAUUCACGAGCAGCUUCGGAUGACAGCGGCUCACUUCAAGAGCAGGUGAAGCAAGUUGGGACAAUGUUGAAGACGUUUGCU